UACGGAGGGUGCUAGCGUUGUUCGGAAUCACUGGGCGUAAAGGGUGCGUAGGCGGGGCUUUAAGUCAGGGGUGAAAUCCUGGAGCUCAACUCCAGAACUGCCUUUGAUACUGAAGAUCUUGAGUUCGGGAGAGGUGAGUGGAACUGCGAGUGUAGAGGUGAAAUUCGUAGAUAUUCGCAAGAACAUCAGUGGCGAAGGCGGCUCACUGGCCCGAUACUGACGCUGAGGCACGAAAGCGUGGGGAGCAAACAGG
rnacentral:rRNA from 1 species